rnacentral:rRNA from 1 species
UACAUAGGGGGCGAGCGUUAUCCGGAAUUAUUGGGCGUAAAGGGUGCGUAGGCGGCCAUUUAAGUCUGGGGUGUAAGUGCAGUGCUCAACGCUGUGAUGCUCUGGAAACUGGAUGGCUAGAGUUAGAUAGAGGCAAGUGGAAUUCCAUGUGUAGCGGUAAAAUGCGUAAAUAUAUGGAGGAACACCAGUGGCGAAGGCGGCUUGCUGGGUCUACACUGACGCUGAGGCACGAAAGCGUGGGGAGCAAACAGG